rnacentral:rRNA from 1 species
AUUGAACGCUGGCGGCAGGCCUAACACAUGCAAGUCGAGCGGAUGAAGGGGGCUUGCUCCUGGAUUCAGCGGCGGACGGGUGAGUAAUGCCUAGGAAUCUGCCUGGUAGUGGGGGAUAACGUCCGGAAACGGGCGCUAAUACCGCAUACGUCCUGAGGGAGAAAGUGGGGGAUCUUCGGACCUCACGCUAUCAGAUGAGCCUAGGUCGGAUUAGCUAGUUGGUUGGGUAAAGGCCUACCAAGGCGACGAUCCGUAACUGGUCUGAGAGGAUGAUCAGUCACACUGGAACUGAGACACGGUCCAGACUCCUACGGGAGGCAGCAGUGGGGAAUAUUGGACAAUGGGCGAAAGCCUGAUCCAGCCAUGCCGCGUGUGUGAAGAAGGUCUUCGGAUUGUAAAGCACUUUAAGUUGGGAGGAAGGGCAGUAAGUGAAUACCUUGCUGUUUUGACGUUACCAACAGAAUAAGCACCGGCUAACUUCGUG